UACGAAGGCCCCAAGCGUUAUCCGGAAUUAUUGGGCGUAAAGGGUGCGUAGGAGGUUAUAUAAGUCGUAUGUUAAAUCUUUCCGCUCAACGGAAAGGCCGCAUGCGAUACUGUAUGACUUGAGGACAUGAGAGGCUAGCGGAACGCACGGUGUAGGGGUGACAUCCGUUGAUAUCGUGCGGAACACCAAAGGCGAAGGCAGCUAGCUGGCGUGUACCUGACUCUGAUGCACGAAAGCGUGGGGAGCAAAAAGG
rnacentral:rRNA from 1 species